rnacentral:rRNA from 1 species
UCAAGCCAUGCAUGCCUAGAAGAAAAAUUUACGCCCGACUGGUGCUCUAUAGUGCCGACUGGUGUGUUAAGGAAUCAGCGAACGGCUCCGCAUAUCUGUUGUCACCUAUCGUGGUAAAUACGGCGUGGAUAGAGCACGGAAAAGCUGUGUAUAACACAGACAAGUGGGGUCACCGCUGCCCGUUGGCAUGGGGAGUAGGGGUAAGUGG